rnacentral:rRNA from 1 species
UGGGGAAUCUUGGACAAUGGGGGCAACCCUGAUCCAGCCAUGCCGCGUGAGUGAUGAAGGCCUUAGGGUCGUAAAGCUCUUUCGCCUGUGAAGAUAAUGACGGUAGCAGGUAAAGAAACCCCGGCUAACUCCGUGCCAGCAGCCGCGGUAAUACGGAGGGGGUUAGCGUUGUUCGGAAUUACUGGGCGUAAAGCGCACGUAGGCGGACCAGAAAGUUGGGGGUGAAAUCCCGGGGGCUCAACCCCGGAACUGCCUCCAAAACUAUUGGUCUAGAGUUCGAGAGAGGUGAGUGGAAUUCCAAGUGUAGAGGUGAAAUUCGUAGAUAUUUGGAGGAACACCAGUGGCGAAGGCGGCUCACUGGCUCGAUACUGACGCUGAGGUGCGAAAGUGUGGGGAGCAAACAGGAUUAGAUACCCUGGUAGUCCCACACCGUAAAACGAUGAAUGCCAGUCGUCGGGUAGCAUGCUAUUCGGUGACACACCU